GCUCUCACCCUUUGUGACAUACCUAACCGUUUGCUUCGGCGGGCAGGGGAAGCCUCUCGCGGGCUGACCCUCCCGGCGCCGGCCCCGUCACGGGGGCGGAGCGCCCGCCGGAGGAAACCAAACUCGUAUUUACACGACGUCUCUUCUGAGUGGCACAAGCAAAUAAUUAAAACUUUUAACAACGGAUCUCUUGGUUCUGGCAUCAAUGAAGAACGCAACGAAAUGCGAUAAGUAAUGUGAAUUGCAUAAUUCAGUGAAUCAUCCAAUCUUUGAACGCACAUUGCGCUCGCCAGCAUUCUGGCGAGCAUGCCUGUUCGAGCGUCAUUUCAACCCUCAAGCACCGCUUGGUUUUGGGGCCCUCACGGACCGACGUGGGCCCUUAAAGGUAGUGGCGGACCCUCCCGGAGCCUCCUUUGCGUAGUAACUAACGUCUCGCACUGGGAUCCGGAGGGACUCUUGCCGUUAAACCCCCAAAUUUUUUCAGGUUGACCUCGGAUCAGGUAGGACUACCCGCUGAACUUAAGCAUAUC
rnacentral:rRNA from 1 species